GACGAACGCUUUCGGCUUGCUUAACACAUGCGAGUCGAACGGAAAGGCCCUGCUUUUUUGUUGGACUCUAGUGGCGAACGGGUGAGUAACACGUUAGUAACCUGCCCUUGACUUUGGGUUAACUUCAGGAAACUGGGUCUAAUACCGGAUAGGUGCUCCUGCUGCAUGGUGGGGGUUUGAAAGUUUCGGCGGUUGGGGAUGGACUCGCGGCUUAUCAGCUUGGUGGUGGGGUAGUGGAUUACCAAGGCUUUGACGGGUAGCCGGCCUGAGAGGGUGACCGGCCACAUUGGGACUGAGAUACGGCCCAGACUCCUACGGGAGGCAGCAGGGGGGAAUAUUGCACAAUGGGCGGAAGCCUGAUGCAGCAACGCAGCGUGCGGGAUGACGGCCUUCGGGUUGUAAACCGCUUUCGCCUGUGACGAAGCGUGAGUGACGGUAAUGGGUAAAGAAGCACCGGCUAACUACGUG
rnacentral:rRNA from 1 species